rnacentral:rRNA from 1 species
GAUGAACGCUGGCGGCGUGCCUAAUGCAUGCAAGUCGAGCGAACGGACGAGAAUCUUGCUUCUCUGAUGUUAGCGGCGGACGGGUGAUUCACACGUGCAUAACCUACCUAUAAGACUGGGAUAACUUCGGGAAACUGUAUCUAAUAUCCGAUCAUAUUUUGAACCGCAUGGUUCAAAAGUCCAAGACGUUCUUGCUGUCACUUUUAGAUGUUUCCUCGCUGCAUUAGCUAGUUGGUAAGGUAACGGCUUACCAAGGCGACGAUGCAUAGCCGACCUGAGAGGAUGAUCGGCCACACUGGAACUGAGACACGGUCCAGACUCCUACGGGAGGCAGCAGUAGGGAAUGUUGCGCAAUGGGCGAAAGCCUGACGGAGCAACGCCGCGUGAGUGAAGAAGGUCUUCGGAUUGUAAAACGCUGUUAUUAGGGAAGAACAUAUGUGGAAGAAACUGUGGAGAGGAUGACGGUACCUGAACAGAAAGCAACGGCUAACUACGUG